rnacentral:lncRNA from 12 species
CGUGGAGCCUGCUUUUCCCUCUGCCUGGGUCUCUGCCUCUCUCUCUCUCUGUAUCUCUCAUGAAUAAAUAAAUAAAAUCUUAAAAAAAAAAAAAAAAAGCCAGAAUGAGGAAGAACUACCUACAGUGUGGGCAGUUUGAGAACAUGAGUGAGUCAGGUCUGCAAAUAACAGGGGCAUUUUCAAUGGUUAGUCAGCAUUUUGUGCUCUUCUCCAAUCAGGUUUUAGUGAAGAUUAAUCUAGAGGUGACUUACUGGCUCUUAAAGGAAAGCCGUCAGAAUUGCAGAAGUGGGGGGCCUCUCAGGGCUCACGGGCUGAGCUAGUGCUUGCAGCCUGUCCUCCAGGGGACCGGGCGCCAGGGGGAGGCUGUGGGAUCCCCACUGAAGGACAAAGGGCACCCAGGCGCAGAUGGCUCAGGUCCACUAGAAAGCCAGCCUAUUUUUAACCGGGCAGCCAGGAUGUGAGGAGUCUAGGAUUCAGCUUCUAUUUGUGGAAAGUCACAGCAUCAGAGUGAAAGAGUAGAUGAGACUCCCAGGCCCGGCUCCUGUCCAGCCCCGACACUCAAGGGACUCACUGGCCCACUGGGUCCCCCGGGGCCAUCAUUCCCCGUUCAGGGGGUGGGGGGUCCCCUUCCCCAACCAAGGAGGCUCGCUCUCUCCAGGCAGCAGCCACAGGAGGAGGAUCCAGUGCAGAGGGCCGCCGGGGUCACCAGGAGAGGAGCCGGUGUCCACGGGGCGCCUGCAGAACCGGACAGUAGAUCACAGCACACCAGACCCAGCUGGUCACGCAGGUGGCUGUGGCUUUACCAGGCUGCGACCCGCUUCCCAUUAUGUCGCGGCCCCCAGGGGACUGAUUCAUUCCUUUGUGUGUCUCCUCCGGAGGAUGAGUUUGCCUGCCUCAGGCGAGGGUGACCCACCUGCCGCUUCCAGCCCAGGCUCACAGCCUCGGAUCCCGUGUUUGCCUGCCCUUCCCACCACUGUCGCAGCCCCGUGGCAGCCCCAACUCCGCCUGGGAGCACCAGCUCCCCCCUCCCACGAGGGAGCCUCCUCGGGGUACAGAGCUCCCUCCGGUCGGGCUGCGGGGGGAGGAGCCGGGCCCGCGGGUCGCACCCACCGUGGGGACCGAGAGCGAGUCACCGCGAUCACCGCGAGCUGGCCUCCCGGCCCAGGCCCUGCCCGCCUACCUGGGAACGAAGCAAACGGCCCCCCAAGUCCUUGACCAGAGGCCUGCUGUAAAUAAAGAGCA